UCACUGUGGAAAGUAUGGUGGCUGUGAAGG
rnacentral:piRNA from 1 species